UAGGGAAUCUUCCACAAUGGACGAAAGUCUGAUGGAGCAACGCCGCGUGAGUGAGGAAGGUUUUCGGAUCGUAAAACUCUGUUGUAAGGGAAGAACACGUACGAGAGUAACUGCUCGUACCUUGACGGUACCUUAUUAGAAAGCCACGGCUAACUACGUGCCAGCAGCCGCGGUAAUACGUAGGUGGCAAGCGUUGUCCGGAAUUAUUGGGCGUAAAGCGCGCGCAGGCGGUUCUUUAAGUCUGAUGUGAAAGCCCACGGCUCAACCGUGGAGGGUCAUUGGAAACUGGAGAACUUGAGUACAGAAGAGGAAAGCGGAAUUCCACGUGUAGCGGUGAAAUGCGUAGAGAUGUGGAGGAACACCAGUGGCGAAGGCGGCUUUCUGGUCUGUAACUGACGCUGAGGCGCGAAAGCGUGGGGAGCAACAGGAUUAGAUACCCUGGUAGUCCACGCCGUAAACGAUGAGUGCUAAGUGUUAGGGGGUUUCCGCCCUUAGUGCUGCAGCUAACG
rnacentral:rRNA from 1 species